rnacentral:rRNA from 1 species
UACGUAGGGACCAAGCGUUGUUCGGAUUUACUGGGCGUAAAGGGCGCGUAGGCGGCAAUUCAAGUCAUCUGUGAAAUCUCCGGGCUUAACUCGGAACGGUCAGGUGAUACUGCUUUGCUAGAGUGCGGAAGGGGCAAUCGGAAUUCUUGGUGUAGCGGUGAAAUGCGUAGAUAUCUGGAGGAACACCGGUGGCGAAGGCGGCAUCCUGGACCGACACUGACGCUGAGGAGCGAAAGCCAGGGGAGCAAACGGG